rnacentral:tRNA from 1 species
AAGGAUUUAAGUUAAAUAGCUAAACUAAUAGCCUUCAAAGCUGCAAAUAAAGGUACCUUUAGGCCUUG